UCCCGUUUAGCUCAGUGGUAGAGCGCAUCACUAGUAACCAAGUUCGAGUCUCACCGACUCGAACGACCGUCACAAUGAUGAGGUCAGUCGUUCAAGUCGGCUAAUGGGAA